rnacentral:rRNA from 1 species
UACGUAGGGGGGCUAGCGUUGUCCGGAUUUAUUGGGCGUAAAGAGCGUGUAGGCGGCCAGGUAGGUCUGCUGUGAAAACUCGAGGCUCAACCUCGAGACGUCGGCGGAAACCAUCUGGCUAGAGUCCGGAAGAGGAGAGUGGAAUCCUGGUGUAGCGGUGAAAUGCGCAGAUAUCAGGAAGAACACCCGUGGCGAAGGCGGCUCUCUGGGACGGUACUGACGCGAGACGCGAAAGCGUGGGGAGCGAACAGG